UAGGGAAUCUUCCGCAAUGGGCGAAAGCCUGACGGAGCAACGCCUCGUGAGUGAUGAAGUUCUUCGGAUCGUAAAACUCUGUUAUUAGGGAAGAACAAAUGUGUAAGUAACUAUGCACGUGUUGACGGUACCUAAUCAGAAAGCCACGGCUAACUACGUGCCAGCAGCCGCGGUAAUACGUAGGUGGCAAGCGUUAUCCGGUAUUAUUGGGCGUAAAGCGCGCGUAGGCGGUUUUUUAAGUCUGAUGUGAAAGCCCACGGCUCAACCGGGGAGGGUCGUUGGAAACUGGAAAACGUGAGUGCAGAAGAGGAAAGUGGAAUUCCAUGUGUAGCGGUGAAAUGCGCAGAGAUAUGGAGGAACACCAGUGGCGAAGGCGACUUUCUGGUCUGUAAAUGACGCUGAUGUGCGAAAGCGUGGGGAUCAAACAGG
rnacentral:rRNA from 1 species